rnacentral:tRNA from 1 species
GGAAUUGUAGCUCAGUGGUAGAGCUCUUUACUAGCAUGGGUGAGGUCCUGAGUUCGAUCCUCAGCACCA